GAUGAACGCUGGCGGCGUGCCUAAUACAUGCAAGUCGAGCGAACAGACGAGGAGCUUGCUCCUCUGACGUUAGCGGCGGACGGGUGAGUAACACGUGGAUAACCUACCUAUAAGACUGGGAUAACUUCGGGAAACCGGAGCUAAUACCGGAUAAUAUAUUGAACCGCAUGGUUCAAUAGUGAAAGACGGUUUUGCUGUCGCUUAUAGAUGGAUCCGCGCCGCAUUAGCUAGUUGGUACGGUGACGGCUUACCAAGGCAACGAUGCGUAGCCGACCUGAGAGGGUGAUCGGCCACACUGUAACUGAGACACGGUCCAGACUCCUACGGGAGGCAGCAGCAGGGACUCCUCCGCAAUGGGCGAAUGCCUGACGGAGCAACGCCGCGUGAGUGAUGAAGGUCUUCGGACCGUAAAACUCUGUUAUUCGGGAAGUUCAAAUGUGUAAGUAACUAUGCACGUCUUGACGGUACCGAAUCAGAAAGCCCCGGCUAACUCCGUG
rnacentral:rRNA from 1 species